AAUAUGAAGGCGGGCUGGAACCUCUCGGGGUUACAGCCUUGCUGAAUUAUUCACCCUUGUCUUUUGCGUACUUCUUGUUUCCUUGGUGGGUUCGCCCACCACUAGGACAAACAUAAACCUUUUGUAAUUGCAAUCAGCGUCAGUAACAAAUUAAUAAUUACAACUUUCAACAACGGAUCUCUUGGUUCUGGCAUCGAUGAAGAACGCAGCGAAAUGCGAUAAGUAGUGUGAAUUGCAGAAUUCAGUGAAUCAUCGAAUCUUUGAACGCACAUUGCGCCCUUUGGUAUUCCAAAGGGCAUGCCUGUUCGAGCGUCAUUUGUACCCUCAAGCUUUGCUUGGUGUUGGGCGUCUUGUCUCUAGCUUUGCUGGAGACUCGCCUUAAAGUAAUUGGCAGCCGGCCUACUGGUUUCGGAGCGCAGCACAAGUCGCACUCUCUAUCAGCAAAGGUCUAGCAUCCAUUAAGCCUUUUUUUCAACUUUUGACCUCGGAUCAGGUAGGGAUACCCGCUGAACUUAAGCAUAUCAAUAAGCG
rnacentral:rRNA from 1 species